rnacentral:rRNA from 1 species
CUACGGGGUGCUCCAGUGAGGAAUAUUGCACAAUGGGGGGAACCCUGAUGCAGCAACGCCGCGUGGAGGAUGACGCAUUUCGGUGUGUAAACUCCUUUUAUAUGUCAAGAAAAUGACGGUAGCAUAUGAAUAAGCACCGGCUAACUCCGUGCCAGCAGCCGCGGUAAUACGGAGGGUGCAAGCGUUACUCGGAAUCACUGGGCGUAAAGGACGCGUAGGCGGGUUGGAAAGUCAGGUGUGAAAUCCUACAGCUCAACUGUAGAACUGCACUUGAAACUUCUAAUCUAGAGUAUGGGAGGGGGAGAUGGAAUUAGUGGUGUAGGGGUAAAAUCUGUAGAUAUCACUAGGAAUACCUAAAGCGAAGGCGAUCUCCUGGAACAUUACUGACGCUAAGGCGUGAAAGCGUGGGGAGCAAACAGGAUUAGAUACCCGAGUAGUC